GUGGGGAAUAUUGGGCAAUGGGCGCAAGCCUGACCCAGCAACGCCGCGUGAAGGAAGAAGGCUUUCGGGUUGUAAACUUCUUUUACCAGGGACGAAAAAAAUGACGGUACCUCUUGAAUAAGCCACGGCUAACUACGUGCCAGCAGCCGCGGUAAUACGUAGGUGGCGAGCGUUAUCCGGAUUUACUGGGUGUAAAGGGCGUGUAGGCGGGAGUGCAAGUCAGAUGUGAAAAUUAUGGGCUCAACCCAUAACCUGCAUUUGAAACUGUUCUUCUUGAGUGAUGGAGAGGCAGGCGGAAUUCCGUGUGUAGCGGUGAAAUGCGUAGAUAUACGGAGGAACACCAGUGGCGAAGGCGGCCUGCUGGACAUUAACUGACGCUGAGGCGCGAAAGCGUGGGGAGCAAACAGGAUUAGAAACCCUGGUAGUCC
rnacentral:rRNA from 1 species